CAAAGUGUAGCUUAAACAAAGCAUCUGGCUUACACCCAGAAGACUUCACGUACGUGACCGCUUUGA
rnacentral:tRNA from 1 species